AAAGAAGGAAGAGGUUUACUUGGCUGAGAGCAUCGGCAGACUUGCAUCUUAAGAGCUGAGCUCCCUGCAAACUGAAUUCUUGGCCUUUUUAAAGGCUUACAACUCUAAAGGGGUCCACAUGAAAAGGUCGUGAUAAAUCCAGCAAGCGUGGGGAACGUGACUGGAGGCUACAUGCAUCAGCUAACAGAACAGAAAGUUUUGCAAUGCUUUUUCAUACAAUGUCUGGAAUUUACAGAUAACACAAGUAGUUUAGGUCUGGGGUUGAUGUUAUUAUUAUUACCUUUUUAACUCCUAGGGCCAGGUGGUGGUGCCAAGGUUGUCUGGCUAUUUAUCUUACUUUUGCUUCUUUCCAGCUUUUUGCUUUCUCUCUUUCCUCCUGUCUUGUGAACUAGGCAAGGUGGUGGGAGGAGGGCAGCAGGAGUUGUAGCGGUCUCCUUCCUUAGUGUGACACAACACCCGACAAGAAUAAGCACACCUAUGAUGGCUGCGAUGGAAGUAAGAAUUGGGGCUACUAUUCUUUUCCAUUUACUGAACCACUUUUCCAGCCAUCCUGUAAAGGGGUCAUUUACCCCCGAGUUAUUGGCUAACUCAGGAUAGAGCAGUCAGACCUUGCAAUGCCUUUGUUAUACUUCCAUUAGGGGCGGUGUUGUUUGGGAUGAAGUUACAACAUUGAUUUUUAAUUAUGAUGCAAAUUCUUCCUUUUUCUGCUAAUAUCAUGUCUAAGGCUAUCCUAUUUUUCCCAAGCCAUCUGGCUAGUAGCCCCUAAUUGCUCAGCUAUUCCUUUAACAGCAUCUCUAGUGUAGUUAAUGGAUGGCUGUUGGUUGUAAUAGAUGUAGUUUAUCCAAUUUACAUUUUAUUGUCACCCACCAAAAUAUUGACUCAAAUCCUGCAGCUAUUUGAUUUCAGGCUUUAAAUUGAUCUGGUAUUCCCUGUGGGACUGUAAUUAUGUCUAAAUAGAUGUGAGAGUCAAAAGACCCAUAAGGGGCUUCUUUUGCUUUAUGAUAUCUUAUUUUUCCUUUCUCUGGUUGAUGAAAUGCCAGCGUGAAAGGGAUAGCCAACUGGACUAAAGCAAGUGCCACUUCAGUUACUCGGCAGAGUGUCCAGUAAAGGUCCAUCAUAAUACCACUACACAUCUGCUCAGGGAUGAGUAAGGGCUAAUUGGUAAGCUCUUGAAAUUUCUUAAUCUCACUGCAUCCCUUCAGGACUCCAAGGAACGCUAAGUUUCCUCCCGGUCCUGAGAGACACGAAGUGAACUUAGUGUUGGGAGAUGGAAGCUGGAUGGCCCUUGGGGGCUGACCCGCAGGGUGUUGAACUUCGGGAUGUAGCAGAGAGAGAGCUUGGCACGACUUGUUACCCCAGGCUGAAUAAUCCUGGGAAAGAUCUGCCAUGCAGGCCAUGCCCAGUCAACUAGAGGGCCACCCUAGUGGAAAGGGGACAAUCUGGGCUUCUGGCCUGUCAUGUGCACAAGCAUAAAAAUUGCCUUUGUUUAACGUGUGGACAGAAUAUUUAAUCAAUUUUAACCAGGCAUUUACAUUUUUAUACCCUGUUUUAAUGGCUAUGGUUUGCCUUAGGUCUCCUAUUUCUACUACCGGGACCUUGCUUUUGUCAUUUGGCAUGAGGUGAGUCAUAGUUUGAUUUUGUAGGUUUGGGAAAGGGGCAGCCAUAGGAGGUGGAGGAGGGAGAACAAAGCCCACCUUAAAGAAGCCCAUAGGAUCCUUUCCAGUGACCUCUGCUCCUAAACCACAGAAGCGUUCUAAAGUGGGGUUAGAGUUGCUAGUGGUAGGAAUAGUAAUGGAUAUAAGCACUGGGUAAGGAAGGGAAAGGAAAAGAUAGAUAGACUAAGCUUUCCUUAGCUUUAAUUUGGUAGGGCUUGAUCCAGGAACAAUGGCCCAUGAUUCUGAGGAUAAUGGUGCUUGCUUGACUCAUGUGUGAUGUGUCCAUCUCUUUCCAACCUUACGAACAGCAGUCUCAGUGGUUAGCAGCACAAGGUAGGGUCCUUCCCGGGCUGGCUCGAGUUUCCCUUCUUUCCCCUCUUUGAUGAGAACGUGAUCCCCAGGCUGAUGCUGAGGCACUGGAAAGUCCAAAGGCAGCACCUGCCCAGCAGUAGGUCUGUAUAAAGUCCAC
rnacentral:lncRNA from 10 species